CGGCGGACGGGUGAGUAACGCGUGGGUAACCUGCCUCAUACAGGGGGAUAACAGUUGGAAACGGCUGCUAAUACCGCAUAAGCGCACAGUACCGCAUGGUACGGUGUGAAAAACUCCGGUGGUGUGAGAUGGACCCGCGUCUGAUUAGCUUGUUGGCAGGGUAACGGCCUACCAAGGCAACGAUCAGUAGCCGACCUGAGAGGGUGACCGGCCACAUUGGGACUGAGACACGGCCCAG
rnacentral:rRNA from 1 species